GACGAACGCUGGCGGCGUGCCUAAUACAUGCAAGUCGAACGGUCUUUUCUAUGGAAGCUUGCUUCCACUGAGAAGAUAGUGGCGAACGGGUGAGUAACACGUGGGUAACCUGCCCAUAAGAGGGGGAUAACAUCCGGAAACGGGUGCUAAUACCGCAUAGUUUUCUUGAUCGCAUGAUCGGGAAAGGAAAGACGGCCUUUGUGCUGUCGCUUAUGGAUGGACCCGCGACGCAUUAGUUAGUUGGUGAGGUAACGGCUCACCAAGACGAUGAUACGUAGCCGACCUGAGAGGGUGAUCGGCCACAUUGGGACUGAGACACGGCCCAAACUCCUACGGGAGGCAGCAGUAGGGAAUCUUCCGCAAUGGACGAAAGUCUGACGGAGCAACGCCGCGUGAGUGAAGAAGGUUUUCGGAUCGUAAAACUCUGUUGUUAGGGAAGAACAAGUGCCGUUCGAAAGGGCGGCACCUUGACGGUACCUAACGAGAAAGCCACGGCUAACUACGUGCCAGCAGCCGCGGUAA
rnacentral:rRNA from 1 species